AUUGAUGAGAGCCUCCAGGUACUUGUCCCUAGCCGGAGACGGCGUGCCAGCUCCUGAAGAUGGCACGUCGGUCCCAGUCAGAUAUAUGCCAGGCUUCAUC
rnacentral:misc_RNA from 1 species